UACGUAGGGUGCAAGCGUUGUCCGGAAUUAUUGGGCGUAAAGAGCUCGUAGGCGGUCUGUCGCGUCGGCUGUGAAAACUCGGGGGCUCAACCCCGAGCUUGCAGUCGAUACGGGCAGGCUAGAGUUCGGCAGGGGAGACUGGAAUUCCUGGUGUAGCGGUGAAAUGCGCAGAUAUCAGGAGGAACACCGGUGGCGAAGGCGGGUCUCUGGGCAACAACUGACGCUGAGGAGCGAAAGCGUGGGGAGCGAACAGG
rnacentral:rRNA from 1 species